UUGGAGGGCAAGUCUGGUGCCAGCAGCCGCGGUAAUUCCAGCUCCAAUAGCGUAUAUUAAAGUUGUUGCAGUUAAAAAGCUCGUAGUUGAACUUCGGGAUCAAUUGAUUGGUCAUGCCAUUGGUAUGUACUGGUCAUAUUGGUUCUCACCUUCUAAGGAACCAUAAUGUCAUUAAUUUGAUGUUUUGGGGAAUUAGGACUGUUACCUUGAAAAAAUUAGAGUGUUUAAAGCAGGCUAACGCUUGAAUACAUUAGCAUGGAAUAAUGAAAUAGGACAUCGCAUUCUAUUUUGUUGGUUUCUAGGAUCGAUGUAAUGAUUAAUAGGGAUAGUUGGGGGCAUUAGUAUUCAAUUGUCAGAGGUGAAAUUCUUGGAUUUAUUGAAGACUAACUACUGCGAAAGCAUUUGCCAAGGAUGUUUUCAUUAAUCAAGAACGAAAGUUAGGGGAUCGAAGACGAUCAGAUACCGUCGUAGUCUUAACCAUAAACUAUGCCGACUAGGGAUCGGAUGAUGUUGAUUUUUUAAUGACUCAUUCGGCGCCUUACGGGAAAC
rnacentral:rRNA from 1 species